CAAAAUUCAGUCUGGGUGCCGCUCGCCUCUUUACUCGCGCGUCGUUUCUUGUUUGCUCUUCGAAAGGAAAGGAAAUCAACCAUGCUGCCUGUGGUCGCUACGAGAAAAGACGAAGGAAACAGACUCAGUAAAAUUGGAAGAGCGGCAAGACCGUGGAGUCCAACUAAUAGAAUGGCAAUCUCCUUUGAAAUCUGUCCUGAUGCCAGCGGUCUGGUCGCAGUGCGAGCAACCUGAAAGAAAACACAAGCGUGUUACUAUAGAAAAUUAAAAGUUUGCAAUAUCAGUGAAACACCACCUUUCCGUCUACGUCGCUGUCCCACAGAUCAUUGACAAUGCAUCCUCCGCCUCGCAUCAGAAAAGCUCCGACUCCGAACAGACACAAGAGUCUGACGUC